GAACGCACCUUGCGCCCUUUGGCUAUUCUGAAGGGCAUGCCUGUUUGAGUAUCAUGAACACCUCAACUCUCAUGGUCCGCCAUGAUGAGCUUGGACUUUGGGGGUCUUUGCUGGCUUACGGUCGGCUCCUCUCAAACGAAUCAGCUUGCCAGUGUUUGGUGGCGUCACAGGUGUGAUAACUAUCUACGCUUGUGGUUUUCCACCAUUAACCUUCAGCAAUGGAGGUUCGCUGGAGCUUACAGAUGUCUUUCCUUGGGGAGGACAGCUUCUUGAAUGUCUGAUCUCAAAUCAGGUAGGACUACCCGCUGAACUUAAG
rnacentral:misc_RNA from 1 species